rnacentral:rRNA from 1 species
GACGAACGCUGGCGGCGUGCUUAACACAUGCAAGUCGAACGAAGAGCGAUGGAAGUUUGCUUCUUUCAAUUUUAGUGGCGAGCGGGUGAGUAACGCGUAAUCAACCUGCCCUUCAGAGGGGGACAACAGGUGGAAACGACUUCUAAUACCGCAUACUUUUUAAUCUCGGCAUUGAGGAGAGAUGAAAGGUGGCGUCUACACGUAAGCUAUCACUGAAGGAGGGGAUUGUGUCUGAUUAGCUAGUUGGGGGGGUAAGGGCCCACCAAGGCGAGGCACAGUAGCCGGUCUGGGAGGAUGGACGGCCACAUUGGGACUGAGACCCGGCCCAGGGUCCUGAGGGAGGCAGCAGUGGGGAAUCUUCCGCAAUGGACGAAAGUCUGACGGAACCACGCCGGGUGGGGGAUGACGGCCCUCGGGUUGUAAAGAUCUGUUUAUCGGGACGAAAGGUCUUCUUGCGAAUAGGGGGAAGUAUUGACGGUACCUGAAGAGAAAGCCACGGCUAACUACGUG